GACGAACGCUGGCGGCGUGCCUAACACAUGCAAGUCAACUUGACUGAAGGAGCAAUCUGACAGUAGAGUGGCGCAAGGGUGCGUAACGCGUAAGUAACUUGCCCCAAGGUAAGGAAUAACGUCGAGAAAUCGGCGCUAAUACCUCAUAAUGCAGCGGAUCCGCAUGGAUAUGUUGUUAAAGGUUUACCGCCUUGGGAUAGGCUUGCGUCUGAUUAGCUAGUUGGUGUGGUAACGGCACACCAAGGCUACGAUCAGUAACUGGUCUGAGAGGAUGAUCAGUCACACUGGAACUGAGACACGGUCCAGACUCCUACGGGAGCAGCAGUGAGGAAUAUUGGGCAAUGCUCGAAAGAGUGACCCAGCAACGCCGCGUGGAGGAUGAAGGUAUUCUAUAUCGUAAACUCCGUGUGAGAGCAGACGAAAGACAGAUUAUUAAUCUGGAU
rnacentral:rRNA from 1 species